CACGUAGGUGGCGAGCGUUAUUCGGAUUCACUGGGCGUAAAGGGUCCGCAGGGGGCCUUCCAAGCCUGCCGUCAAACCCAGGGGCUCAACCCCUGGCCGCGGUGGGGACUGGCGGGCUAGAGUGCGCGAUGGGCAGACGGAACACCAGGUGUAGCGGUGGAAUGCGUGGAUAUCUGGUGGAACACCGAUGGCGAAGGCGGUCUGCUGGCGCGCGACUGACCCUCAGGGACGAAAGCGUGGGUAGCGAACA
rnacentral:rRNA from 1 species